rnacentral:tRNA from 1 species
GCGUCCGUAGCUCAAUUUGGAUAGAGCGACAGACUUCGGAUCUGUAGGUUAUGGGUUCGAUUCCUAUCGGGCGCACCA